CCUACGGGAGGCAGCAGUGAGGAAUAUUGGUCAAUGGACGAGAGUCUGAUCCAGCCAAGCCGCGUGAAGGAUGACUGCCCUAUGGGUUGUAAACUUCUUUUAUAUGGGAAUAAAAUGUUCCACGUGUGGGAUUUUGUAUGUACCAUAUGAAUAAGGAUCGGCUAACUCCGGGCCAGCAGCCGCGGUAAUACGGAGGAUCCGAGCGUUAUCCGGAUUUAUUGGGUUUAAAGGGAGCGUAGGUGGAUUGUUAAGUCCGUUGGGAAAGGUUGCGGCUCAACCGUAAAAUUGCAGUUGAAACUGGGAGUCUUGAGUGCAGUAGAGGAGGGCGGAAUUCGUGGUGUAGCGGUGAAAUGCUUAGAUAUCACGAAGAACUCCGGUUGCGAAGGCAGCUCACUGGACUGUAACUGACACUGAGGCACGAAAGUGUGGGUAGCAAACAGGAUUAGAUACCCUUGUAGUC
rnacentral:rRNA from 1 species